GACGAACGCUGGCGGCGUGCUUAACACAUGCAAGUCGAACGGAAAGGCCCUGCUUUUGUGGGGUGCUCGAGUGGCGAACGGGUGAGUAACACGUGAGUAACCUGCCCUUGACUUUGGGAUAACUUCAGGAAACUGGGGCUAAUACCGGAUAGGAGCUCCUGCUGCAUGGUGGGGGUUGGAAAGUUUCGGCGGUUGGGGAUGGACUCGCGGCUUAUCAGCUUGUUGGUGGGGUAGUGGCUUACCAAGGCUUUGACGGGUAGCCGGCCUGAGAGGGUGACCGGCCAGAUUGGGACUGAGCUACGGCCCAGACUCCUACGGGAGGCAGCAGUGGGGAAUAUUGCACAAUGGGCGGAAGCGUGAUGCAGCAACGCCGCGUGCGGGAAGACGGCCUUCGGGUUGUAAACCGCUUUCGCCUGUGACGAAGCGUGAGUGACGGUAAUGGGUAAAGAAGCACCGGCUAACUACGUG
rnacentral:rRNA from 1 species